rnacentral:rRNA from 1 species
UAGCGGCGAACGGUCGCGUAACACGUAAGCAACCUGCCCCGAAGACCGGGACAACAGUGGGAAACCGCUGCUAAUACCGGAUGUGGCCACCUGGCGGCAUCGUUGGGUGAUUAAACCGAGCAAUCGGCUUCGGGAGGGGCUUGCGGCCUAUCAGCUAGUUGGUGGGGUAACGGCCUACCAAGGCGACGACGGGUAGCUGGUCUGAGAGGACGGCCAGCCGGACUGGGACUGAGAUACGGCCCAGACUCCUACGGGGGGCAGCAAUUAGGAAUCUUGCGCAAUGGGCGAAAGCCUGACGCAGCGACGCCGCGUGGAGGAGGAAGUCCUUCGGGAUGUAAACUCCUUUUUCCGGGGAAGAAACAAAUGACGGUACCCGGUGAAUAAGCCCCGGCUAACUACGUGCCAGCAGCCGCGGUAAUACGUAGGGGGCGAGCGUUGUCCGAAGUUACUGGGCGUAAAGCGCGCGUAGGCGGGAGAUUAAGUGAGAGGUGAAAGGCUGGGGCUCAACCCCAUGCAGUGCCUCUCAUACUGGUCUUCUUGAGGGCGGUAGGGAGAAGUGGAAUGGCUGGUGUAGCGGUGAAAUGCGUAGAUAUCAGUCGGAACACCGGUGGCGAAGGCGGCUUCUUGGGCCGUUCC